AUGAACGCUAGCUACAGGCUUAACACAUGCAAGUCGAGGGGCAGCAUGGUCUUAGCUUGCUAAGGCCGAUGGCGACCGGCGCACGGGUGAGUAACACGUAUCCAACCUGCCGUCUACUCUUGGACAGCCUUCUGAAAGGAAGAUUAAUACAAGAUGGCAUCAUGAGUCCGCAUGUUCACAUGAUUAAAGGUAUUCCGGUAGACGAUGGGGAUGCGUUCCAUUAGAUAGUAGGCGGGGUAACGGCCCACCUAGUCUUCGAUGGAUAGGGGUUCUGAGAGGAAGGUCCCCCACAUUGGAACUGAGACACGGUCCAAACUCCUACGGGAGGCAGCAGUGAGGAAUAUUGGUCAAUGGGCGAGAGCCUGAACCAGCCAAGUAGCGUGAAGGAUGACUGCCCUAUGGGUUGUAAACUUCUUUUAUAAAGGAAUAAAGUCGGGUAUGGAUACCCGUUUGCAUGUACUUUAUGAAUAAGGAUCGGCUAACUCCGUGCCAGCAGCCGCGGUAAUACGGAGGAUCCGAGCGUUAUCCGGAUUUAUUGGGUUUAAAGGGAGCGUAGAUGGAUGUUUAAGUCAGUUGUGAAAGUUUGCGGCUCAACCGUAAAAUUGCAGUUGAUACUGGAUAUCUUGAGUGCCGUUGAGGCAGGCGGAAUUCGUGGUGUAGCGGUGAAAUGCUUAGAUAUCACGAAGAACUCCGAUUGCGAAGGCAGCCUGCUAAGCUGCAACUGACAUUGAGGCUCGAAAGUGUGGGUAUCAAACAGGAUUAGAUACCCUGGUAGUCCACACGGUAAACGAUGAAUACUCGCUGUUUGCGAUAUACUGCAAGCGGCCAAGCGAAAGCGUUAAGUAUUCCACCUGGGGAGUACGCCGGCAACGGUGAAACUCAAAGGAAUUGACGGGGGCCCGCACAAGCGGAGGAACAUGUGGUUUAAUUCGAUGAUACGCGAGGAACCUUACCCGGGCUUAAAUUGCAGAUGAAUUACGGUGAAAGCCGUAAGCCGCAAGGCAUCUGUGAAGGUGCUGCAUGGUUGUCGUCAGCUCGUGCCGUGAGGUGUCGGCUUAAGUGCCAUAACGAGCGCAACCCUUGUUGUCAGUUACUAACAGGUUCCGCUGAGGACUCUGACAAGACUGCCAUCGUAAGAUGUGAGGAAGGUGGGGAUGACGUCAAAUCAGCACGGCCCUUACGUCCGGGGCUACACACGUGUUACAAUGGGGGGUACAGAGGGCCGCUACCACGCGAGUGGAUGCCAAUCCCCAAAACCUCUCUCAGUUCGGACUGGAGUCUGCAACCCGACUCCACGAAGCUGGAUUCGCUAGUAAUCGCGCAUCAGCCACGGCGCGGUGAAUACGUUCCCGGGCCUUGUACACACCGCCCGUCAAGCCAUGGGAGCCGGGGGUACCUGAAGUGCGUAACCGCGAGGAGCGCCCUAGGGUAAAACUGGUGACUGGGGCU
rnacentral:rRNA from 1 species